rnacentral:tRNA from 1 species
AGACAAAAUGGCUGAUAAAAGCAGGGAACUGUAAAUUCUCGUAUAAACAUUUCGUUUUUUUGUU